UGCCAGCCGCCGCGGUAAUACGAAGGGUGCAAGCGUUGUUCGGAUUUAUUGGGCGUAAAGCGCGCGCAGGCGGAUAGAUAAGUCAGGUGUGAAAUCUCGGGGCUCAACCCCGAAACAGCGCCUGAAACUAUUUAUCUAGAAUUUCGGAGGGGAAUGGGGAAUUUCGCAUGUAGGGGUAAAAUCCGUAGAGAUGCGAAGGAACACCAGUGGAGAAGUCGCCAUUCUGGACGAAUAUUGACGCUGAGGCGCGAAAGCGUGGGGAGCAAACAGGAUUAGAUA
rnacentral:rRNA from 1 species